rnacentral:rRNA from 1 species
AGUGAACGCUGGCGGCAGGCCUAAUACAUGCAAGUCGAGCGGACGCACAGUAAGAGCUUGCUCUUACGGGUGGCGACUGGCGGACGGGUGAGGCAUGCAUAGGCUACUACUUUUUCGUGGGGGAUAACGUAAGGCCACUUACGCUAAUACCGCAUACGAUCUACGGCUGAAAGCAAGAGAGCUUCACAGUCUGCGUGACUGAUAGAGCCGGUGUCGCAUUAGCUAGUUGGCGGGGUAAAGGCACACCAAGGCGACGAUCCGUAGCUGAUCUGAGAGGAUGAUCAGCCACACUGGAACUGAGACACGGUCCAGACUCCUACGGGAGGCAGCAGUGGGGAAUCUUGGGCAAUGGGCGCAAGCCUGAUCCAGCCACACCGCGUGAGUGAUGAAGGCCUUCGGGUCGUAAAACCCUGUUAUUGGGGAAGAAAAGCAGUGUGUGAAAAUGCCGCUAUUCUGACGGUACCUAAAGAAAAAGCAACGGCUAACUUCGUG